rnacentral:rRNA from 1 species
UACGAAGGGGGCUAGCGUUGCUCGGAAUCACUGGGCGUAAAGGGCGCGUAGGCGGGCUCUUAAGUCAGGGGUGAAAGCCCAAGGCUCAAACCUUGGAAUUGCCUUUGAUACUGAGGGCCUUGAGAGCCGGAAGAGGUCGGCGGAACUGCGAGUGUAGAGGUGAAAUUCGUAGAUAUUCGCAAGAACAACCAGUGGCGAAGGCGGCCGACUGGUCCGGUUCUGACGCUGAGGCGCGAAAGCGUGGGAGCAACAGG